UACAGUCACCUUACCUAAUAGUUACCAGUCAGGAUGGUUUUUGGUUCUGUAAUGGUGGGAGAAACUUUGGACUCAAGUAAACACCUUAGCUGUCUUCAAUCUACAAGAUGAUUUGUGAAUGAUGAAGGGGAUCUAAUGCCAGAAAGAAAUGAGGCCUUUCUGAGGGUUCAGCUGAGCUGCAGCUUAUAAAGCGGUUACUGAAUGAAGAUAUAUGAACCGCAACAAGCCAUCUGCCAGACACACUCUGACCGAACAUUCGCCAUGUGUCCAUAACAGCGACAGAGUUCCUCACGCUCACGACUUUCAGUGAAAGUUUGAACAGAAACUGAACCCUAACAGACCAAAGAGUUAAUGCCCCCGUGUCGUACCCACCGGAGGAGACGGGACGAUGGAUUAACCCUCCAGAGGAGAGAGAGCGGAGGGAUGGGAAAGCCAUGUGUGGACACCCCUCUGCUUAUGAAACACAAAACCUUUUACUGCGAGGUUUUGCAUGUGUGAAUGUGUGUCAUCAUAUUACACUCGCUCAUUUUGCGAGCCAUUUGAGGUGCAACUCCGGCCACAAAUCUCCAGGUGUUUGUUAUAGUCCAGAAGUGAAAUUCAGAAUGCACAUAAAGCUAGCCGUUAGCCUCCAUUACAGCAGGAAAUUAAUUGGGUAGGAGUGAAUAAUUGAUAGUAGAAACAUCAGUUUAAGUCAUGGGUUCCUUAACAGAAGCCGACCAAGAUGACCUGCAGUCACAUUGACCACAAAGUAUUUUACAGCAUCUUUAUCCUCCUUUCAACGCAGUGGCAGCUCAAGCUGCUCAUAUUUAUUGGAGACUAUUUAACUUUACUUCAGGCCCAUUGACAUUUUACCAAAAGCUAUAUUUAAAGUACUCUUGAGCCCACUGGGCCUGGCUUGUUCUCCGUUAUUAAAAGCAAUCUGCACUCCAGUUCUGUUCCAAUGUGAUUAAAGAAAAGCUCUUCAGACCUUCUGAGGGCCUCAUUAACUUUAAUUAGUAAAAAAUAGCCCAAUAAAAGCUUUUAUGAUUUUUCUGAAAAUGUCAGUCAGUUUUUGACACGUUGCAAUUUGGGUAAACCUAAAAGGCACAAUUAUGGUUCAUCAGACGGAUUCUAAGUUUGGCACCUGCAGGAAUACAAUGGAUGGACGGUCCAAAUCCAUAAUGAGCCGCUGUUACAGCCACCGACCUGCAGGGGCGCUGCUCCUCCUGCUGCAGCUGGAGCUCCGUCUCAAAGUGUCUCUUUUCCCUCAGCCUUGAUCUGCAGUGAUCUUGUCUGUUUGCUGUCUGCUCCUGCAGCCUGAUGUGAAUAUUUCUGUGUGAGUAACUGUGAACAUCUAAAAAGGAAAGCUUCCUGUUCUUUGGACAAACAGGAAGCUCAGCCAUUGUACAUUUCUGUUUACUUAUAGUUGUUUUAUUUUAUAUUACACAGCAGGGUGUGUUUUGUUUGUUAUUUUAGCUUUGUGGACUCUGAAGAAUAAUGCUGUGUCG